GAAAGCGAGAAAGCGUUGCCGCAGGCAACGACCCGAAGGGCGAAGCGCGCAGCGCUGAGUCAUCCUUCCCCACCACCA
rnacentral:sRNA from 1 species